UACGAAGGGGGCUAGCGUUGCUCGGAAUCACUGGGCGUAAAGCGCACGUAGGCGGAUGUGCCAGUCAGGGGUGAAAUCCCGGAGCUCAACUUCGGAACUGCCUCUGAUACAGCACGUCUUGAGUCCGGAAGAGGUGGGUGGAAUUCCUAGUGUAGAGGUGAAAUUCGUAGAUAUUAGGAAGAACGCCGGUGGCGAAGGCGGCCCACUGGUCCGGUACUGACGCUGAGGUGCGAAAGCGUGGGGAGCAAACAGG
rnacentral:rRNA from 1 species